UACGAAGGGGGCUAGCGUUGUUCGGAAUUACUGGGCGUAAAGCGCGCGCAGGUGGUCUUUCAAGUCAGUGGUGAAAGCCCGGAGCUCAACUCCGGAAAUGCCAUUGAAACUGUGAGACUUGAGGACGAGAGAGGUGAGUGGAAUUCCCAGUGUAGAGGUGAAAUUCGUAGAUAUUGGGAAGAACACCGGUGGCGAAGGCGGCUCACUGGCUCGUAUCUGACGCUCAGGCGCGACAGCGUGGGGAUCAAACAGG
rnacentral:rRNA from 2 species